GCCGGGCAUGGUGGUGCAUGCCUGUAAUCCCAGCUACUUGGGAGGCUGAGGCAGGAGAAUCGCUUGAACCCAGGAGGCAGAGGUUGCAGUGAGCUGAGAUCAUGCCACUGCACUCCAACCUGGGUGACAGAGUGAGACUCCAUCUCAA
ensembl:misc_RNA Metazoa_SRP Metazoan signal recognition particle RNA